rnacentral:misc_RNA from 1 species
GAUGAAGAACGUAGCGAAAUGCGAUACUUGGUGUGAAUUGCAGAAUCCCGUGAACCAUCGAGUCUUUGAACGCAAGUUGCGCCCGAAGCCAUUAGGCCGAGGGCACGCCUGCCUGGGCGUCACACGUCGUUGCCCCCCCCAUCUACUCCUUCGGGAUUGCGGGGGGCGGAUGAUGGCCUCCCGUGCGCCUCGCCGCGCGGUUGGCAUAAAUGCCAAGUCCUCGGCGACGCACGCCACGACAAUCGGUGGUUGCGAAACCUCGGUUGCCCGUCGUGUGCGGUCGUCGCGCAUCGAGGGCUCGAAAAAAUUGCCGGGCUCCGGCUCGGCUUUCAACGCGACCCCAGGUCAGGCGGGGUUACCCGCUGAAUUUAAGCAUAUCAAUAAGCGGAGGA